rnacentral:rRNA from 1 species
AUUGAACGCUGGCGGCAGGCCUAACACAUGCAAGUCGAGCGGAUGAAGGGAGCUUUCUCCUGGAUGCAGCGGCGGACGGGCGGGUAAUUCCUAGGAAUCUGCCUGAUCUAGGGGGAUGACGUCCGGACACGGGCGCUAAUACCGCAUCCGUCCUGAUGUAGAACGUGGUGGUUCUUCGGACCUCACGCUAUCAGAUGAGCCUAGGUCGUAUUAGCUAGUUGGUUGGGUAAAGGCCUACCAAGGCGACGAUCCGUAACUGGUCUGAGAGGAUGAUCAGUCACACUGGAACUGAGACACGGUCCAGACUCCUACGGGAGGCAGCAGUGGGGAAUAUUGGACAAUGGGCGAAAGCCUGAUCGAGCAACGCCGCGUGUGUGAAGAAGGUCUUCGGAUUGUAAAGCACUGUAAGUAGGGAGGAAGGAAAGUAAGUUAAACCAUUGAUGUCUUGACGUUACCAAAAGAAUAAGCAACGGCUAACUUCGUG